rnacentral:rRNA from 1 species
GACGAACGCUGGCGGCGUGCUUAACACAUGCAAGUCGAACGGUGAAGCGAGUGCUUGCACUCGUGGAUCAGUGGCGAACGGGUGAGUAACACGUGAGUAACCUGCCCAUCACUCUGGGAUAAGCACUGGAAACGGUGUCUAAUACUGGAUACGACCAACCCUUGCAUGGGGUGUUGGUGGGAAGAUUUAUCGGUGAUGGAUGGACUCGCGGCCUAGCAGCUUGUUGGCGGGGUAAUGGCCCACCAAGGCGACGACGGGUAGCCGGCCUGAGAGGGUGACCGGCCACACUGGGACUGAGACACGGCCCAGACUCCUACGGGAGGCAGCAGUGGGGAAUAUUGCACAAUGGGCGAAAGCCUGAUGCAGCGACGCCGCGUGAGGGAUGACGGCCUUCGGGUUGUAAACCUCUUUCAGCAGGGAAGAAGCGAAAGUGACGGUACCUGCAGAAGAAGCACCGGCUAACUACGUG